rnacentral:rRNA from 1 species
AUUGAACGCUGGCGGCAGGCCUAACACAUGCAAGUCGAACGGUAACAGGAAGAAGCUUGCUUCUUUGCUGACGAGUGGCGGACGGGUGAGUAAUGUCUGGGAAACUGCCUGAUGGAGGGGGAUAACUACUGUAAACGGUAGCUAAUACCGCAUAACGUCGCAAGACCAAAGAGGGGGACCUUCGGGCCUCUUGCCAUCGGAUGUGCCCAGAUGGGAUUAGCUAGUAGGUGGGGUAACGGCUCACCUAGGCGACGAUCCCUAGCUGGUCUGAGAGGAUGACCAGCCACACUGGAACUGAGACACGGUCCAGACUCCUACGGGAGGCAGCAGUGGGGAAUAUUGCACAAAGGGCGCAAGCCUGAUGCAGCCAUGCCGCGUGUAUGAAGAAGGCCUUCGGGUUGUAAAGUACUUUCAGCGGGGAGGGAGGGAGUAAAGUUAAUACCUUUGCUCAUUGACGUUACCCGCAGAAGAAGCACCGGCUAACUCCGUG